GGAGAGAAUAAGAAAAAUAAUUUUCGUAAUUUUAGUAAUUUUUAAUGAAAAUAAAGUAAAGACUAAAGAGAAAAGUACUGUGAAGGAAAGUCGUUAAAACUUUUUAUAGAAGAAGUAAAAUUUUGUGCCUCGUGUAUCAGAAAAAGUUUAUAUAGUUUAAUUACAAUAAGUAUCUCGAAAUAAAAUACAGUAAUUUUUAUAAAAUUUUCUUUUUAGAAAAAAAGAAUUUAAUAUAAAAUUUAAAGUGAAAUGCUAGCUGAGUUUUAUGAUAUCUAGUUUUUUUAAAAAUAAAUUUAAUUUAAUUUUUAUAAAGAAAAAGUUAUAAAAUUAAAUGGUAGGGGGGAUUAGCUCUUUACGGAAAAGAUAAUGAAAUAGUUAAAUAAAAGUAAAUUAUAUAAAUUAGGCUUAGAAGUAGCUAUAUUGAAAAAGUGUUUUAACUAAAUUAUAAUUGCUUGAAUAUUUAAAAUAAAACUUUUCUUAGGUAUAAAAAAAUGGCUUAAACAAAACAAAACAAGAUAUGAUGAUUUUAUUAGUAAAAUUUAUUGAGUAAAUAAAGAUAUUAAAAGGUAAAAAUUGUUUAAAAAAAUAAGUA
rnacentral:rRNA from 1 species